rnacentral:rRNA from 1 species
GAUGAACGCUAGCUACAGGCUUAACACAUGCAAGUCGCGGGGCAGCAUGGGGGUUGCUUGCAAUCCCCGAUGGCGACCGGCGCACGGGUGAGUAACGCGUAUUCAACCUGCCCUUCACCACGGGAUAACCCGGCGAAAGUCGGACUAAUACCGUAUGUUGUCCAUUGACGGCAUCCGAUUUGGACGAAAGGCUUGGCGGUGAGGGAUGGGGAUGCGUCCGAUUAGCCAGACGGCGGGGUAACGGCCCACCGUGGCUACGAUCGGUAGGGGUUCUGAGAGGAAGGUCCCCCACACUGGAACUGAGACACGGUCCAGACUCCUACGGGAGGCAGCAGUGAGGAAUAUUGGUCAAUGGGCGUAAGCCUGAACCAGCCAAGUAGCGUGCAGGAUGACGGCCCUAUGGGUUGUAAAUUGCUUUUAUGCGGGGAUAAAGUGGCCCACGUGUGGGCUUUUGCAGGUACCGCAUGAAUAAGGACCGGCUAAUUCCGUG